AAUUUGGAGAUCCUAUGUCGUUUAGCCUAUCAACACCGAAAUACCUGAACCAACCGAUCCAGCACCCUGCCGCUGUCCACUGACUCGCCUCCAAGUGCUUAGCUUUGCAGGCUGCAAAGGUUAGUCUCCUGGCAAAAUGUCAUGCGAAAAAACUAAGGUUUACCAAGGUGUUCGAGUAAAGAUCACGGUCAAGGAAUUGCUGAAAAAUCGCAGGGCUCAUCAAAGUACAUUGGCAUCGGAAUAUGCAAACUCUUGGUAUCAACAUGCUAUCGGCGCACCACCCUUUAGUCUAGUGCCAGAGCUGAGCUCACAGCCCUGGCCCUGUGAAGACAACUCCAGCGACAAUGGGAUGGACUGUCUGUCAAUGUACAGUGACAACUUCAGCUCCAUUCAACAGAGGGAACCUGCAGCCUACAGUGAACCGUACAAGUCCACUUAUCAAGAACCCUGGUCCCUUGGAGUAAGAUUGCAC
rnacentral:lncRNA from 1 species